GGAGCAAUUGCUGGAUUGCAUGGUAAGCAUUUGCUUAAUUUUGUAAGAAAUUGCCAAACUGUCUCCCAAAGUGGCUAUACCAUUUUGCAUUUCCACCAGCAAU
rnacentral:pre_miRNA from 1 species